GACGUAGGGCGCGAGCGUUGUCCGGAUUUAUUGGGCGUAAAGAGCUCGUAGGCGGUCUGUCGCGUCUGCUGUGAAAACUCGGGGCUUAACCCCGGGCCUGCAGUGGGUACGGGCAGACUAGAGUGCGGUAGGGGAGACUGGAAUUCCUGGUGUAGCGGUGAAAUGCGCAGAUAUCAGGAGGAACACCUGCGGCGAAGGCGGGUUGCUGGGCUGAUACUGACGCUGAGGCGCGAAAGCCAGGGGAGCGAACGGG
rnacentral:rRNA from 1 species